CCGGCGCACGGGUGAGUAACACGUAUCCAACCUGCCGUCUACUCUUGGACAGCCUUCUGAAAGGAAGAUUAAUACAAGAUGGCAUCAUGAGUCCGCAUGUUCACAUGAUUAAAGGUAUUCCGGUAGACGAUGGGGAUGCGUUCCAUUAGAUAGUAGGCGGGGUAACGGCCCACCCUAGUCUUCGAUGGAUAGGGGUUCUGAGAGGAAGGUCCCCCACCAUUGGAACUGAGACACGGUCCAAACUCCUACGGGAGGCAGCAUG
rnacentral:rRNA from 1 species